AUUGCCUUAGUAACGGCGAGUGAAGCGGCAACAGCUCAAAUUUGAAAUCUGGCCCUCGGGUCCGAAUUGUAAUUUGUAGAGGAUGAUUUUGGUGCGGUAUCUUCCGAGUUCCUUGGAACAGGACGCCUUAGAGGGUGAGAGCCCCGUACGGUUGAAUGCCUAGCCUCUGUAAAUCUCCUUCGACGAGUCGAGUAGUUUGGGAAUGCUGCUCUAAAUGGGAGGUAAAUUUCUUCUAAAGCUAAAUAUUGGCCAGAGACCGAUAGCGCACAAGUAGAGUGAUCGAAAGAUGAAAAGCACUUUGAAAAGAGGGUUAAAUAGCACGUGAAAUUGUUGAAAGGGAAGGAUUUGUGACCAGACUUUUUCUGGGCGGAUCAUCCGGGGUUCUCUCCGGUGCACUUUGCCCAGUAAAGGCCAGCAUCGAUUUUCGGCGGCGGAUAAAAGCAGUGGGAAUGUGGCUCCCUACGGGGAGUGUUAUAGCCCAUUGUAUAAUACGCUGCUGGGGAUCGAGGUACGCGCUUCUGCAAGGAUGCUGGCGUAAUGGUUAUCAAUCACCCGUCUUGAAACACGGACCAAGGAGUCGAACAUUUAUGCGAGUGUUUGGGUGUUAAACCCUCACGCGUAAUGAAAGUGAACGGAGGUGAGAGCCCGUACGGGUGCAUCAUCGACCGAUCCUGAAGUUUUCGGAUGGAUUUGAGUAAGAGCAUAACUGUUCGGACCCGAAAGAUGGUGAACUAUGCGUGGAUUAGGGUGAAGCCAGAGGAAACUCUGGUGGAGGCUCGCAGCGGUUCUGACGUGCAAAUCGAUCGUCAAAUCUGCGCAUGGGGGCGAAAGACUAACG
rnacentral:rRNA from 1 species